rnacentral:rRNA from 1 species
UACGUAGGGUCCGAGCGUUGUCCGGAAUUACUGGGCGUAAAGCGCGCGUAGGCGGUUUGUUAAGUCAGCUGUGAAAGCCCCGGGCUCAACCUGGGAACUGCAGUUGAUACUGGCCGACUGGAGUGCGAGAGAGGGAGGUAGAAUUCCAUGUGUAGCGGUGAAAUGCGUAGAUAUAUGGAGGAAUACCGGUGGCGAAGGCGGCCUCCUGGCUCGACACUGACGCUGAGGUGCGAAAGCGUGGGGAUCAAACAGG